GUUCUCUACGUAAAAAAAGUGUCGUUGUGGCACACGCAGAGAAAAUGCGUACGGAUUUGCUGGGUAUCGAUCAACUGCAUGCAGAAAACUGCCAAAUAUGGAAGGGGAAAUUCCCAGUACACAUUCCACGUGACUUCUCUAGGUGAAACGUAGAGCAGAACAGCAUUUCUUUACGUUACGGGAACGCGAAGAAAGUUCGCGUGAUUCUUUGCGUCGCGUUCCCAAAACGUAGAGCAGAACCUCCCUACUGUCCAUAUUGCCCAACGCCGUAAUCAUGGUAAUAUGGAGCAGGGAGUCGUAUUUUACGACUCCCUGAUAUGGAGUCUUCUGUGCCCUGACACCCCAUGGCAGGCCAGGGGUAGGAGUCCUACGUUGUAUGUGUCUACUACUUGAACUACUCUGCUUGUAAUACUUUGUGAACUCGCUUUAAUACUAUAAAACAAUGUAGAGAAAAUUUGUAUACGCAAUGCAAUGCAAUAAUAUUAUAUGCUCCCGUUCACAUGCACAAAAAUGAUCCUCCCCCCCCCCCCCCACAUGUACCCUCACUCCUAAAAUUUAUGCUGUUCCCAACAUGGACUCAGCACAUGCAAACGCCAUCAAUGCAGUGCAACUUGACGUAACGUCAUCAGCUACUCGAGUUACAAGCCUUGUGUUGAAGAAAAACAUCAGAAUAAAACUCAGUGUGCUGCCAGUGAGGAUUGCACAUCCCAACAUCCAUUCAUUGCCACACAGCAAGAUGAAUACCGUAUUUUCCGGAGUAUAGUGCGCACUUUAGAUGUGCUAUGUUAGGCCCUAAAUCGCAGGUGCGCACUAUGCUCCGAAUAUGAAAUGCAUGUACUUCAAUGAAGUGCGCACUAUACUCCGAAAAAUACGGUACAGUACUACUAGUAUUAAAGAGAAAUAGGAAAAGUACAGGGGGCCUAAAAUAAAAUAACUCAGACUGGACAAGUGAAGGGAUUCCAGCAGUAGCGGCAGAGACGCCUUAUUGAAUCCACGCCGUAACUUUCAUCUCAGACAUCCGCGGCACAAGUCGGAGUACUUUGAGUUCACCGCAAGAGAAAAAAAGGUCAUGCUGGAAUGGCUAGUGUCAGCCACAGUCAGUGGUCAGGCCCAGACGGUACCAUUACAACCAUAACUGUUACCGGCCAAGCAGAGCAGCGCAGCAGAGCUUGGCGUCGCGUUGGCAGGUUCACGGCUGCACGUAUCAUAGCUGCUGUGCAUUUCAAAAGGCACUCAGCGGACGGACAGUGUCCGGGGGAUGGGCUGCACCCCGUGCACUUCGGUGUCAAGUGGAUACAAGCAACAGUGUACUGGCAGUUGUCAUCAGUGACAGAGGCAAUCCCAACCACCCUUAAAUCCACUCGGACAGGUGGGAUUUGGGAAGAGGAGAUCGCCUUGUUCUGUCACCAGCAUCAUCAACUCCAUCAUCACCAACAGUAUCAUUAUCAUCACCAACGUAAUCAUCACCACCAGUAUUAGCAUCAGCAUCAUUGCCACACACUGGGCUCAUGGUGGUGCUGAGCCAAGCAUGAUCCUACCGAGCACACAAAACGCACACAGUGAACAAGCACACAAUAGCAAAGUAAAGAUAUUGGCACAUGCACUGCAACGGGCAGCAUCUAUCUAUCUACCUACGUAGAGCAGGAGUAGUACAGCAAUCUUCAAGUUACACGGAAUACCGUAUUUCCACAAAUAGUAGGCCGGUCUACUAUUUUUUCAACCUCGUCCUAACCCGGCCUUAUAAUCGAGGACGGUCUUGUAUUCAAGGACGGUCUUUUAUUCUUUCAACCCAGUUUGAAACCGGUCUUCUAUUUUUCGCCACACAGUUUUACCCCCAUUCUUCCAUUUUCUUCCACACAGUUUGAGCACGGUCUUCUACUUUUACCCACAGUUUGAGCACGGUCUUCUAUUUUUAACACAAGUUUGAGACUCAUUUAGUAGGCCCGGUCUUCUAAUCGGAGACGGUCUUUUAUUUUUUCAAUCGCCCCCUGCCCCGGCCUUGUA